GCUCGAUCGACAAAAUUGUUACAACAUUAUAGUCACCAAUUUUGAAGUGUUUCGAUAAAGACUGACUGUAAGAUCAUAGAUAAAGACGACGUGGUCUUUAUCUGUGGUAAGAUAUAGAGCAAACCAAUGACGCGUACCCCAGCCAUGGCAACCUGGAGGCGGCCGUAUUUGGGAUCACGUCGUUUUUCUGCUUUGUUGAGUUCUUACGGGUUUUUGAGGGAUGAAGGUCCCUGAGAUUACAGUCCGUAGUUGUUUUCUAGUUGAAUAUUGGAACAAAUAAGUUGUAGGACUAAAAUAGGUAAUUAAACGGGGAAUUUUUUCAUGUAUUUAUCUUUUUUUUCUGAAUUCCCAUUUAUUUAUUUUUAAAUUAUUUAGAAGCAUGGUAAAAGAGGGGAUGGUAUGUUCACUCACUAGAAUUUUCCCAUAAGGCUUGAUCCCAGGUUGCCCCGGUAUAUGGAGUGACACCAAGCGGAUUUUCUCCAGAACUAUGUCUGAACACGUUUUUUUUUCUACGUCCUAGCAAAACAAAACAAAUUAGAAUUUUGUAAAAAAAAUGUGAAAAAAUUCGUAUUUUUUACAGAAUCGAGGUAUUCUAUCAAUUUCGCUUUAAAAAUACAGAAAAAAGGAAAAUAAAAAAAAUAUGACCGUCGAUUUGAACUUACGUCGUCUCAAAUGGAUGCUGGACGCUCUCCCAACUUGGAAAACAAUUAAUGACAGCAAAUCAAAAAUUGCGAAUAAUAACCCCUUUUUGGAAGCACAAUUCAAGAAAACACGAUUCAGUAACGCUACGCUAGGUGGCAGCACAAUUUACUAGGGCUUUGAGAAAAACCCUGAAAAACCGACUUAUGGGAAAGUUCUAGUGCGUGAACAUACCAUCCCCUCUUCUACCAUAUUAGAAGUGUUGUUUACGUUUUUCGGGGAAUGAUCCACCGAACGAUGGAGCAGUUGGACAUACUGCGUUGUGCAUUCUCCGCAAAUGCGAAAAUCUCAUUUGUGUCCAACUUGGUCUGUGUCGCCUACAGCGUCUUAUGGGAAAACCAACUUCUCCUCGCAGACGUUUCUAGACGUUUCUAGACAGAAUCGACCACGCUACGAA